UGGGGAAUAUUGCACAAUGGGCGCAAGCCUGAUGCAGCCAUGCCGCGUGUAUGAAGAAGGCCUUCGGGUUGUAAAGUACUUUCAGCGGGGAGGAAGGCGAUAAGGUUAAUAACCUUGUCGAUUGACGUUACCCGCAGAAGAAGCACCGGCUAACUCCGUGCCAGCAGCCGCGGUAAUACGGAGGGGGCAAGCGUUAAUCGGAAUUACUGGGCGUAAAGCGCACGCAGGCGGUCUGUCAAGUCGGAUGUGAAAUCCCCGGGCUCAACCUGGGAACUGCAUUCGAAACUGGCAGGCUAGAGUCUUGUAGAGGGGGGUAGAAUUCCAGGUGUAGCGGUGAAAUGCGUAGAGAUCUGGAGAAAUACCGGUGGCGAAGGCGGCCCCCUGGACAAAGACUGACGCUCAGGUGCGAAAGCGUGGGGAGCAAACA
rnacentral:rRNA from 1 species